rnacentral:rRNA from 1 species
CGCUCGAACUUGUUGCCGGUACGGCCGUCGAACAGCUGCAUCUGGCCGCUUUCUGGCAGAUCUGCCAGUUUCAGCAUGGCCUUGAUUUCGCUUUCCUUGGCACCGUCGAACACCGGAGUAGCCAUUGGAACGCCGCCGCGCAGGUUCUUCGCCAGAUCCAGGAUUUCCUGAUCGGAGAAGGUGUCCAGCUCUUCGUUGCGACCGCCGAUCUCGUUGUAGAUCUCGUGCAGGAACUUACGCAGGUCAGCGACCUUGCGCUGCUCUUCGAUCAUACGGUUGAUCUUCUCGCCCAAGCCCUUGGCCGCGAGGCCCAGGUGGGUUUCAAGGAUCUGACCGACGUUCAUACGCGAAGGUACGCCCAACGGGUUGAGGACCACAUCGACCGGGGUGCCAUUGGCAUCGUGCGGCAUGUCUUCAACCGGCAUGAUCACGGAGACCACACCUUUGUUACCGUGACGACCGGCCAUCUUGUCGCCCGGUUGGAUGCGACGACGGAUUGCCAGGUAAACCUUGACGAUUUUCAGCACGCCUGGAGCCAGGUCAUCGCCCUGCUGCAGUUUGCGCUUCUUGUCUUCGAACUUGUCGUCCAGCAGACGGCGGCGAUCAACGAUAUAGGCCUGGGCCUUCUCGAGCUGCUCGUUCAGAGCAUCUUCAGCCAUGCGCAGUUUGAACCACUGGCCAUGCUCAAGACCGUCGAGAACUUCGUCGGUGAUUUCCUGACCUUUCUUCAGGCCGGCGCCGCCUUCGGCUUUGUGGCCGACCAGAGCGGAGCGCAGACGCUCGAAAGUUGCGCCUUCGACGAUACGGAACUCUUCGUUCAGGUCCUUGCGGAUCUCGUCGAGUUGAGUCUUCUCGAUCGACAGUGCACGAGCAUCACGCUCAACGCCGUCGCGAGUGAAGACUUGUACGUCGAUGACGGUACCCUUGGUGCCGGUAGGCACGCGCAGGGAGGUGUCUUUAACGUCGCUGGCUUUUUCACCGAAGAUGGCACGCAGCAGUUUUUCUUCCGGAGUCAGCUGGGUCUCGCCUUUCGGAGUGACCCGCUCGAACUUGUUGCCGGUACGGCCGUCGAACAGCUGCAUCUGGCCGCUUUCUGGCAGAUCUGCCAGUUUCAGCAUGGCCUUGAUUUCGCUUUCCUUGGCACCGUCGAACACCGGAGUAGCCAUUGGAACGCCGCCGCGCAGGUUCUUCGCCAGAUCCAGGAUUUCCUGAUCGGAGAAGGUGUCCAGCUCUUCGUUGCGACCGCCGAUCUCGUUGUAGAUCUCGUGCAGGAACUUACGCAGGUCAGCGACCUUGCGCUGCUCUUCGAUCAUACGGUUGAUCUUCUCGCCCAAGCCCUUGGCCGCGAGGCCCAGGUGGGUUUCAAGGAUCUGACCGACGUUCAUACGCGAAGGUACGCCCAACGGGUUGAGGACCACAUCGACCGGGGUGCCAUUGGCAUCGUGCGGCAUGUCUUCAACCGGCAUGAUCACGGAGACCACACCUUUGUUACCGUGACGACCGGCCAUCUUGUCGCCCGGUUGGAUGCGACGACGGAUUGCCAGGUAAACCUUGACGAUUUUCAGCACGCCUGGAGCCAGGUCAUCGCCCUGCUGCAGUUUGCGCUUCUUGUCUUCGAACUUGUCGUCCAGCAGACGGCGGCGAUCAACGAUAUAGGCCUGGGCCUUCUCGAGCUGCUCGUUCAGAGCAUCUUCAGCCAUGCGCAGUUUGAACCACUGGCCAUGCUCAAGACCGUCGAGAACUUCGUCGGUGAUUUCCUGACCUUUCUUCAGGCCGGCGCCGCCUUCGGCUUUGUGGCCGACCAGAGCGGAGCGCAGACGCUCGAAAGUUGCGCCUUCGACGAUACGGAACUCUUCGUUCAGGUCCUUGCGGAUCUCGUCGAGUUGAGUCUUCUCGAUCGACAGUGCACGAGCAUCACGCUCAACGCCGUCGCGAGUGAAGACUUGUACGUCGAUGACGGUACCCUUGGUGCCGGUAGGCACGCGCAGGGAGGUGUCUUUAACGUCGCUGGCUUUUUCACCGAAGAUGGCACGCAGCAGUUUUUCUUCCGGAGUCAGCUGGGUCUCGCCUUUCGGAGUGACC